UCUCUUUUCUAAACUACCUACUGGAUACUGAAGUUGUGGGUCUAUUGUGCUUCAUACUUCAAUGUUAUUAGGAACUUAAUUUAAGCAGACCAUAUCAUGUAUUCAAGUAUCAUCGUCUGACAUUUACUCUAGCAAGGAUUGGCUUUCUGCUGAAUCAAGUUUUCUUGCUUAAUGCUCGUCGAAUCCAAUGUGAUGCAUGUCUUUAGAUGGCACUGCAAUUGUG
rnacentral:sRNA from 1 species